GUAUGGGAGGGGAUAUGCUGUUAAUAAAAGUCUCAUGCACCAGGUAUUUGUCCCUCCGAAUUUUGGAACAGGAGUUCAUCUGAGACCCAAUCGAUAAUGUGAAUAAAGGCCUCUUACUUCCUGAAGACUUGUGUCCAUAUCUCUGUGUUUGGCUUUUGCAUGCUUACACUGUUACACUACUAACAGUGUAACUUUUAACAGCGCUAUUAAUAAGCAUUAUGUAAUUCACCAAUAAGGAUUGCAUGAGGACAGUAUGGCUAUAACUAAAAAGAAAAAUACUGUAAGAUGUAACGUAACAUUUAUUUGCCCUGUCAUGUUGAAAAGCUCUGUAGAAUGUUCGAACAUUGGGAGAUCCUGAGGGAGUAAGAGAAGAGAAAGCAAUUGGGAAAGGUAAG